rnacentral:rRNA from 1 species
AGAGUUUGAUUCUGGCUCAGGAUGAACGCUGGCGGCGUGCUUAACACAUGCAAGUCGAACGGAGCCAAGGAGUGCUGCAUCCUGAAGCUUAGUGGCGGACGGGUGAGUAACGCGUGGGGAAUCUGCCCCGUACCGGGGGGAUAACACUUAGAAAUAGGUGCUAAUACCGCAUAAGCGCACGGCAUCGCAUGAUGCAGUGUGGAAAACUCCGGUGGUACGGGAUGACCCCGCGUCUGAUUAGCCAGUUGGCAGGGUAACGGCCUACCAAAGCAACGAUCAGUAGCCGGCCUGAGAGGGUGAACGGCCACAUUGGGACUGAGACACGGCCCAAACUCCUACGGGAGGCAGCAGUGGGGAAUAUUGCACAAUGGGGGAAACCCUGAUGCAGCCGACGCCGCGUGAGUGAAGAAGUAUCUCGGUAUGUAAAGCUCUAUCAGCAGGGAAGCAAAUGACGGUACCUGACUAAGAAGCCCCGGCUAACUACGUGCCAGCCGCCGC